CUUACCUGAAACUACCCAUCGAAUGGGUCGAUUUUACCCGGAUUUUCAUGUUAUUAGAAGUUGUCAAAAUCCGGGUAACCGAUCUUGCAACAGAAGAGUAAGCUUUACUCUGAUUGUGGGUAAACGGGUCUUUGCGAAAAUUCCGAUACUCAGUUUAUCCUGGUUGUAUAUUGAUGUCAAAAUCUGGGUAAACAUCUGGGUAAGCGGGAUUUGUCAAAAACAUUAACAUUGUUCGCGGCGUGUAUUCCAAAAAGUUAGAGGCUGUGGUAAAGCUCCGGAGAAAAUGGAUCGCGAAAGCUGCAAACAGAUAUUUUUGCAACAUUCCCGGCUACAACAUCUUCAGCAAAGGAGCCCGAUGUAGGCGCGCGGAACGAAACUUGGGACUGCCCUUUGAAAUCUGGAGCCUUUUUAUCAUUAUGAAUAUACUUUUAAUGUUAUUUUACUUAUUUAGACGUAAAUAAAUACUAUCUGUUUUA